AGAGUUUGAUCAUGGCUCAGAUUGAACGCUGGCGGCAGGCCUAACACAUGCAAGUCGAACGGUAACAGGAAGCAGCUUGCUGCUUUGCUGACGAGUGGCGGACGGGUGAGUAAUGUCUGGGAAACUGCCUGAUGGAGGGGGAUAACUACUGGAAACGGUAGCUAAUACCGCAUAACGUCGCAAGACCAAAGAGGGGGACCUUAGGGCCUCUUGCCAUCGGAUGUGCCCAGAUGGGAUUAGCUAGUAGGUGGGGUAACGGCUCACCUAGGCGACGAUCCCUAGCUGGUCUGAGAGGAUGACCAGCCACACUGGAACUGAGACACGGUCCAGACUCCUACGGGAGGCAGCAGUGGGGAAUAUUGCACAAUGGGCGCAAGCCUGAUGCAGCCAUGCCGCGUGUAUGAAGAAGGCCUUCGGGUUGUAAAGUACUUUCAGCGGGGAGGAAGGGAGUAAAGUUAAUACCUUUGCUCAUUGACGUUACCCGCAGAAGAAGCACCGGCUAACUCCGUGCCAGCAGCCGCGGUAAUACGGAGGGUGCAAGCGUUAAUCGGAAUUACUGGGCGUAAAGCGCACGCAGGCGGUUUGUUAAGUCAGAUGUGAAAUCCCCGGGCUCAACCUGGGAACUGCAUCUGAUACUGGCAAGCUUGAGUCUCGUAGAGGGGGGUAGAAUUCCAGGUGUAGCGGUGAAAUGCGUAGAGAUCUGGAGGAAUACCGGUGGCGAAGGCGGCCCCCUGGACGAAGACUGACGCUCAGGUGCGAAAGCGUGGGGAGCAAACAGGAUUAGAUACCCUGGUAGUCCACGCCGUAAACGAUGUCGACUUGGAGGUUGUGCCCUUGAGGCGUGGCUUCCGGAGCUAACGCGUUAAGUCGACCGCCUGGGGAGUACGGCCGCAAGGUUAAAACUCAAAUGAAUUGACGGGGGCCCGCACAAGCGGUGGAGCAUGUGGUUUAAUUCGAUGCAACGCGAAGAACCUUACCUGGUCUUGACAUCCACGGAAGUUUUCAGAGAUGAGAAUGUGCCUUCGGGAACCGUGAGACAGGUGCUGCAUGGCUGUCGUCAGCUCGUGUUGUGAAAUGUUGGGUUAAGUCCCGCAACGAGCGCAACCCUUAUCCUUUGUUGCCAGCGGUCCGGCCGGGAACUCAAAGGAGACUGCCAGUGAUAAACUGGAGGAAGGUGGGGAUGACGUCAAGUCAUCAUGGCCCUUACGACCAGGGCUACACACGUGCUACAAUGGCGCAUACAAAGAGAAGCGACCUCGCGAGAGCAAGCGGACCUCAUAAAGUGCGUCGUAGUCCGGAUUGGAGUCUGCAACUCGACUCCAUGAAGUCGGAAUCGCUAGUAAUCGUGGAUCAGAAUGCCACGGUGAAUACGUUCCCGGGCCUUGUACACACCGCCCGUCACACCAUGGGAGUGGGUUGCAAAAGAAGUAGGUAGCUUAACCUUCGGGAGGGCGCUUACCACUUUGUGAUUCAUAACUGGGGUGAAGUCGUAACAAGGUAACCGUAGGGGAACCUGCGGUUGGAUCACCU
rnacentral:rRNA from 2 species